UGGGGAAUUUUGCACAAUGGGGGAAACCCUGAUGCAGCCACGCCGCGUGAUUUAGAAGGCCUUCGGGUUGUAAAAAUCUUUUCUAUGGGAAGAAAAUGACAGUACCAUAGGAAUAAGGACCGGCUAAUUCCGUGCCAGCAGCCGCGGUAAUACGUAAGGUCCGAGCGUUGUCCGGAAUCAUUGGGCGUAAAGGGUACGUAGGCGGGUAAGCAAGUUAGAAGUGAAAUCCUAUAGCUCAACUAUAGUAAGCUUUUAAAACUGCUCAUCUUGAGGUAUGGAAGGGAAAGUGGAAUUCAUAGUGUAGCGGUGAAAUGCGCAGAUAGUAGGAGGAAUACCGGUGGGGAAGGCGACUUUCUGGCCAUAACCUGACGCUGAGGUACGAAAGCGUGGGUAGCAAACAGG
rnacentral:rRNA from 1 species